rnacentral:lncRNA from 1 species
UAUCUCUCUCUUCCUCUCUAAAUUUUUUCGCUUCUCUCUAAAAACUAUUUUUCCGACUGCGUUUGGUGACCGGCGGUGGCUCAUCUGCCACCAGGUAUCACCCUUUUUGGUUACGUUUUGUUAUUUGACUAAUGUCGGUGUGUAUAUCUUUUGAUGUGUUCGAACGUUUUGCUUCCGUCGCGGAUAUUAUUUUCCGGUUACGGAUUCUAUUUUAGGUCUAGAGUUCUCUUUCUCUUCUAUUUUUAAAUUAGUCUGGUAUACUAGAUUUGCUGAUCAAGUCUAAGGGCUUUUCUACUCUGUUGGCCAUCUUCAGUUUCAUUUUGUGGAAAAGUCAAUCUUUGUUCUGUGAUAUAAUUAGCAAAGUAUUUACUCGAAGAAUUGAAAGUUGAGUUUUCUCGUGUCCCUUCGGUGAGAACCUAAAAAUAGUCAUAAACCAUUUCAUCAAAAACGAUUUCCAACAAGUACAACACUUACUCAUGAGAACGGAUAGCACGUUUAAUAUUGGUUGAGUUGUCUUUUAGAGUUUUGUAUUAAGAGAUACCUACUUUAAUCUGAUCUUGUUUGGCAUUCCUUAACAUUUGAGAAUCUAGAGUAGUCUUGCUUUGCUAAAAAACAAAAUGCAAUUAUGAGCCAUUGUAAUAUAUUAUCUAUAUAAAAUAUCAUUUGACAAUAUUUGCUUGAUCAAUCCAUAUUUGUAACUCAAUCGAUCCAUGUCUUAUUUAUAAACUCAUAAGUGCUAUAUAUAGAUUAUGGAAAGUGAUGAUUCUUAUUAGAGGCCUUGUACAAUACUUAUACACGUUAGAAGAGAGUACUAGGUCUAGACUAAUUACACAUAAGGAUAUCAACUAUCUAUAUUUACAUAUAUCUUCAAUAUUCCCCCUCAAGAUGGAGGGGACUUGUGCACUCCAAUCUUGUUGCAAGCUUGUUGAAAAUGAUUCCGCGGAAGUGGUUUAGUCAGGGCAUCUGCGAGCUGAUCACGUGUAGAGACAUGUGAGACACGGAGCUGGCCAGCCUGAAUCAUGUUCCUGGUGAAGUGAUAAUCAAGUGCAAUAUGUUUCAUGCGGGAGUGGAAUACCGGGUUUGCACACAGAUAAGUGGCACCCACGUUGUCACAAUAUAUAACCGGAGCGGUGGGUAUGUCGAUGCAAAGAUCAGAGAGCAACGAGCAGAGCCAGGUUACCUCAGAAGCUGUAUUGGCCACAGCUCGAUAUUCAGCUUCUGUAGAGGAGCGUGCAACUCCUUUCUGUUUCUUGGACGACCAGGAGACCGGAUUGCGACCAAGAUAAAUGAUAUAUGCGUUUGUAGAAACAUAAUCAUCCAUGUCGCCGGCCCAAUCAGCAUCAGAGUAAGCGUGUAAGGUGAGAGGAGUGUUCUUGUGAAAGAAGAUUCCAUGACUGCGAGUUCCUGCGAGAUACCGGAGGACCCGUUUUGCCGCCUGCCAAUGCUCCAUUGUUGGUUUGUGCAUGAAUUGUGAGAGACGUGCAACUGCAUAUGAGAUAUCAGGUCGCGUAAAUGCCAAGUAUUGGAGACUGCCAACAAGAGAACGGUAUGGAGCGACAUCGAGGAGAGGUGUGCCACCGUGGAGAGUCAGUUUCGGAGACGUAGGAAAAGGAGUGGUGACCGGUUUGGCAUCAGUCAUGUUCUGCUUGUUUAACAAGUCAUUGAUGUAUUUCUGUUGCAUGAGGUGAAGUCCCUGUGAUGUCCGGAUAGCUUCUAUCCCAAGGAAGUAGUGGAGAUCCACAGGGUCUUUUAUGGAGAAUCUUUCAGCAAAGGAUUUGAGAACUUUAUCAACGACCAUCGAGUUAUUUCCUGUCACAAGGAUGUCAUCCACGUAGACGAGAACAUAUGUGAUGGUGCUUCCACAUCGAUGAACAAAGAGAGAAGCAUCAGCCGUGGAGUUGAUGAAGCCUGUCUCAAGAAGGUGUUGUCGCAGGGAAAGGUACCAAGAGCGGGGAGCUUGUUUGAGACCAUAGAUUGGUUUGCGAAGACGACAUACGUGAGUAGGCUUAUCUUUGUCGACAAAACCAGAAGGUUGUCUCAUAUACACAACUUCAGUGAGCUCCCCUUGAAGAAAGGCAUUGUUUACAUCCAACUGCUUGAUAGGCCAAGAUUGUAUGACUGCAACUUCGAGGACUAAGCGGAUGGUAGUAGACUUGAUGACCGGGCUGAAGGUUUCCGAGUAAUCUACACCAUACCGUUGCGUAUAACCCUUGGCGACUAAACGCCCUUUGCGACAACGGACUUGACCAUUUGACAAGUAUUUUGUGGUGAAAAGCCACUUGCAGUCAAUGACAUGCUGGUCUGGUUCGGGAGGUUCAAGAUCCCAAGUGUGAUUCACAAUAUGUGCAUCAAACUCUGUGAUAGCUGCUUCACGCCAUUCAGUCUGCUUCAUGGCUUGAAUGAUGGUCGUUGGUUCAGAGGGAGUGAUUUUGUUUCCUGCAACAGUAAGAGUUAGUUUCUGAACAGAUUUAGAUAUAUUAUUUUUGGCUCUAGUUUUCAUUUUGUGGACAUUUUGAGUGGUCUCAGUGACUGGAUUUUGUGGUUCAGUAGGUUGCAAAGACAAGGCCGGUUGGGUUUGUGAUAUAUUUGGUGUGUUUGUGUUCUGAGUUGUGGGUUGCAACUCAUUUUGAAGUGGAGCAGUGGGCUCAUGGGAAGAGGGGUUAGUCUGAAUCGGGUGAGAUUCAUUUUGAGAAGGAGCAGUGGGCUCUUUUGGAGGGAGAGGAGAUGAAGGUUCAGGGUUAGAAGGCAAUACAUGAGGGUUGGUCUGCGGGGGUGAGUGUUGGUCUGCGGAGGUGAGUGUUGGUGAAGAGUCUCGCGCAAGGGUCCCAUAUCUCGUUGAGGUAUAGCAGUGAGAGGUGUGGCUACAGAGGUUGGAGCUGAUGUCGUGCUCUCUGGCUCUUGUGGAGGAGCUGCAUUCAUGGAGGGGAAGGGGAACUCUGAUUCCACAAAGUGAACAUGUCUCGACGUGUAGAUACGUUGUGUAGUUGGUUCAAGGCAAAAAUAUGCACUCUGCGAAGUAGAGUAACCAAGGAAGACACACCUCUGUGAUUUGUCUUGAAGCUUGUGAUUGUUGUAUGGUCUCAACCAAGGAAAACACAGGCAACCAAACACCCUUAACUUCUCAUAAUUAGGAGGCUCUCCAAAGAGUAUUUGAUACGGUGACCUCAUAGAGAGCGUGUGUAAGACCCGAUCCUGGAUUCCUCAAUCGAACCAGACCGCGGCCUCACCAAACAAUGCAACCAAUUCCAUCUUUCAUAUUCAAGUUCAAGUGUUAAAUAAUUCUAAGUCUUUUUCAGAGUUUUGAGGUUCUAACAUUCACACUUAAACAAUCAAGCAUCAACUAAUGAAAAUAGAUACUUCUUAGAUAUUAACCAAGGUUCAUACAUCAUUCAUCAUCCUAAAUAAUAGAAUACAUACUAGAAUCGCAUAAGUUCACAAAUUGCACAAUAGGCUUACAAUAAUCACACAAUUUUCAGAAUCAACCCAAUCACCACACAUCUUCCCAUGGCCGCGGUCCUCAUGGUGCUUUUCCCUUACCACGGUCCAUUUCUGGUCCUGGAUCCAACACAAACAACCACACAAUCACAAGGUUAGAUUACAAAACAAGAAUCAAAUCACAUUGUAUGGUCAGAUCCAAUCUAGUCAAGAACAAUCAUCAAAAAUGUCAAAUCUGACCCCUUUAAAAAGAGAUCCAAAUACCAAAUAAAAUUCAUGAUAAUUCAUGAUAAUUCAUAAGAAAAAUAUUCCCAUAAACAGAUUCAAAAGAAUCGGCUCAGAUCAUAGUGAUCUCGGCCAUGAACAGCCCACACAAGAACAAGGGACUUUCAUGGGAAUUUGAUCAGGCCAAGGCCUUAGGAUCAAUGAAUCCUUUCCUGUAACAACAUAAAACAUUCCAUAGCACAACAUAUAAAAAGAAACAGAGUAGAAGAAGUCAGAGUAAGGAGUAUCCAAUCGAUCCAAGCCGGCCAGGCUCACACGGCCAUCAUCCGCGGCCUUGUCCAGUUACUCUUGGCCACACCUCUCACCUUAGGAGUUCGGUCUCCAGGGGCGACUUCCUUCUCUUUCUCCUUUGCCUUCUCCUUGUCUUUCUGUCUCAAAUCCAUCUUCUUGAUCACACGCCCAAACACACCAGGAACACUCAAGAACAAUCUCUUGGAUCAAAUCGGCCGAUCCAAAGUUUCUGUCUCUCUUUCUCUCUUGAAUUUUCUCUGUGUUUCUCUCUGUGUGGAAUGAGUAAAAACCGACCAGAAUGAUCAGAAAUGAGAGAGAGAAGACGAUUUAAACUGUCCCCAACCGCCUGGGCGAACAGUUACCAAAAUCCCUUCCUUUCUUCCCAAAACCGUCCCAUAACCGUCCCAUAACCGCCCCUUGGCGGUUUCUCUCCUUUUCUUCCUUUGGCAAAUCGAUCACUGAGCCUCAGCUCACACUCUGGGAGCUUGCCCGCUCCCUAUCCCAAGCCUAAGACCCAUUUGGUCGAACCGUCCUGCACCCGGACCAUCGGCUCGCCCAGUAACCGUCCCGGACUCGCCCACACUGAUCCGAACCAGAACGCACCGUUCACUGGAUUGAGCUGACCCCCAACUGUUCCCAGCUGAUUGAGCUAGCCCACCAGCUCCUGUGAGCUGAACAGAUCAUGGUGAACUGAUUACCAGCUGAACCGAGCUGAUUGAACUCAAACCAACACUCGUCCAGCUGCCUAAACACUCACCCAGCCCCUUUACCCUUAUUUCCAUCGUAUCCUGGUUAAGUCUCAGCUGACUGAUGCCCUUAACCUUCAUUCAGGGCCAUGAUACGCUUGUCUCAAGGUCUAAUGACCUGACUGGUGCGUCUCCCCGCACCAUGGCCCGUCCGGCCGAUCCUAUCUAGGAUCGGGGACAUGACAAGUCUCCCCCACUAACUUGGGAUUCGUCCUCGAAUCCAUGUUAAGUGUUUCAUCAGGAAGAAAUUGUCUGUACCACUCCGGAUACAUUGUUUUCAUCUUUGUUUCUGUUUCCCAAGUGAUGAGGUCUUUACCAUUGUAAUCCCACACCACUUUGAUCAUGGGAACUGUCUUCUUCCUCAUAGCUUUCUCUGACCGAUCCACAAUCCGAACCGGCAAGGUUUCCAAAGUCAGGUCCUUACCAAGGUCAGCAGGAACCUCAGGCAAGACAAUGUCUUGUUCAGACAAGCAUUUCCGGAGUUGGGAUACAUGGAACACAUUGUGGUAUGCAUCCAUUGCCGAUGGCAAGUCCAACUUGUAUGCCACUGCACCCACUCUCUCUAUGAUCCUGAAUGGACCCAAGUACCUAGGGUCCAGUUUCUUUCGUCCAGAAAUCCUGGUCCUACCCUUAAAGGUAAUCAUCUUGAGAUACACCAGGUCAUUGACCUCAAACUCAAGAUGUUUCCUACGCUUGUCCGCAUAGCUCUUUUGGCGGUCCUGCGCCUCUUUCAUCUUCUCUUUGACCAUCCUGAUCUUCUCAGUGGUCUGUUCUACAAUCUCAGGUCCCAACAUGCUACGCUCCCCCACUUGGGUCCAGCAUAGGGGUGUCCUGCACGGCCUACCAUACAAAGCCUCAUAUGGCGACAUACCAAUGCUUGUAUGGAAGCUGUUAUUAUAAGCAAACUCCACUAAAGGUAAGUGUUUUUCCCAAGACUCUCCCCAGUCUAACACACAUGCCCUUAGCAUAUCCUCUAAGGUUUGGAUUGUCCUUUCAGACUGCCCAUCCGUUUGAGGAUGAUAAGAUGUGCUCAUAUUCACUCUGGUUCCCAAGGCCUUUUGGAAAGCCUGCCAGAAAUAAGAUGUAAAUCUUGGAUCCCUGUCCGAGACAAUGCUUGCUGGAACACCAUGCAACCUCACUAUCUCGUCUAGGUACACUUGCACUAUCCCCCCAUCCCCUUUCUUGAUGCGUAGGAAAUGAGCCGACUUGGUCAGCCGAUCAACCACAACCCAUACCGCAUCUUUCUUAUUCCUGGUCGUGGGAAAUCCAGUCACAAAAUCCAUUGUGAUGUGAUCCCAUUUCCAUUCUGGUAUGGGUAGGUUCUGAAGUAGACCACUGGGAACCUGAUGUUCUGCCUUCACCAGUUGACAAGUGGGACACUUAGCCACCCACUCUGCAACAUCAGAUUUCAUCCUCACCCAAUGGUAGUACCUUUUCAGAUCCCUAUACAUUUUGUUCAGUCCAGGAUGAACUGAAAACUUGGACUUAUGAGCCUGUCUCAUAAUCUCUUCUUUGAGUUCCUUAUCAUUAGGAACACUGACCCUACCAUUGACCAAGAUGGUACCAUUGUCAGUUGUCUGGUACUCAGUCUUGUCAUUGGCGGCUACCUUCUUUAGAUUUUCAUCCAGGCCCUGAGCUUGCCUGAUCCUGGUCAGGAGAUCGGCCUGGUUCACCGCCUCCAAUCCCAGUGGCUCAUCUGAACCAACCAAGGUAUUGAGGUUCAAGGACCUAAUCAUCCCUUCCAGUUCAUCCGCCUCCCUCUCAGAUGACACUUCAGCCCUUCUGCGGCUCAAGGCAUCAGCCACUAGGUUAGCUUUCCCAGGAUGAUAAGCUAUGUCCAGAUCAUAAUCUGCAACAAAUUCCAUCCAUCUCCUCUGCCUUAAGUUUAACUCAGGCUGAGUGAAUAUGUACUUCAAACUCUUAUGGUCUGUGAGUAUUUGCAUCCUGGCACCAUAAAGAUAUGAUCUCCAUAUCUUUAAUGCAAAUACUACUGCAGCCAUCUCCAAAUCAUGGGUUGGAUAGUUACCCUCAUGCUUCCUUAACUGCCGGGAAGCAUAGGCUAUCACCUUCCCAUGUUGUGUCAAAACACAACCAAGACCAGUUAUGGAUGCAUCCGUAUACACCACAUAAGGCUGAUCAGCCUCAGGCAACACCAGGACAGGUGCAUUAGUCAACAUGUUCUUGAGUGCUGCAAAACUUUUCGCACACUCCUCAGACCAUGUGAACCUCACGUCCUUGCCUGUCAGCUUAGUCAUAGGUUGAGCUAUGCUCGAGAACCCCUUGACAUAUUUCCGGUAAUAACCAGCCAACCCUAAGAAGCUCCUCACUUCCGUAGCAUUCUUUGGCUGUGGCCAUUCCUGGAUACAUUUGAUCUUAUCUUGAUCCACUGAGACUCCUUUAUCAGACACCACAUGCCCAAGAAAUCCAAUGCUCUUCUGCCAGAAGCUACACUUGCUUAGCUUAGCAAAGAGCUUCUGUUCUCUCAGGCGGCCCAACACCGCCCUAAGGUGUCUUUCAUGGUCCUCCUUUGUCUUGGAAUACACGAGUAUAUCAUCAAUGAAGAUGAUCACAAACUCGUCCAAGUAUUCCCUGAAGAUGCCGUUCAUCAUCUUCAUGAAUGCAGCAGGUGCAUUGGUCAGUCCGAACGGCAUGACCACAAACUCAUAGUGACCAUACCUAGUUCGGAAUGCUGUCUUCCUCACAUCACCUGGUGCAAUGGGGAUCUGAUGAUACCCAGAGGCCAAGUCAAUCUUGGAGAACCACUUGGCUCCACGGAGUUGGUCCAACAACUCAUCAAUCCUGGGUAAAGGGUACUUGUUCUUCACAGUCACCCUGUUCAAACCCCUAUAAUCAAUGCACAACCUAAAGCUACCAUCCUUUUUCUUAACGAAUAGGACUGGUGCUCCCCAAGGUGAUACACUAGGGCGUAUGAACCCCUUCUCAAGCAACUCCUCAAGUUGCUUCUUCAGCUCUGCCAUCUCAGCUGGUGCCAUUCUAUAUGGACUUUUUGAUAACGGGGCCGUUCCAGGUUCCAAUUCAAUGAUGAAUGGGUCAGCCCUAUCAGGGGGAAUGCCCUGUAGUGCCCCAAACACAUCCUGAAAUUCUCGAACCAACGGUAUACCCUCUGGGUCACAGGCCCCUACAACCUCAUCAGUGUAAAUGGUAGCCAAAAAGGCCUCACAACCAUUUCCAAGCAUCCGUUCUACUUGGACUGCUGAAACCACCAAACUACAAGAGGUUGGCUUGAUUCCUUGGUACUUGAUCGGGGGUCCAAACUCAUUCUCAAGUUGCACCCUUCCCCGGUGACAAUCUAGAGUUGCCCGAUACUUUCCCAACCAGUCCAUGCCCAAGAUCACUUCAUGAUGCUUGAGGGGGACAACAAUCAGAUCUAUAGGCAUCGGCCUAUCCAAGAUCACCACAGGGAUGUCCUUAACCAGACCGAGUGAGUUCAUAACUUGCCCUCCGGCCGCACUCACUCGUUCAGGACCAUCCCAUGUUCCAUACUGGAACAAACCUUUUCCUAUCAUACUUGGACUCACAAAACUAUGUGUAGCUCCAGUAUCAAAUAGUGUGUGUGUUUCCACACCACCAAUACUUAAGGUCCCUACACAAGACCCAUCAAAGUAUAUCUAUCCAUCCUAGAUUCCAUACCAUGCAAUUCUACUGGAAUUGUAAAAGUAGUAGUCUAGAGUGUUACCAUUGAUCGCUUGGAAAGGCCGUGCCCCAUCCACAUCCUUGGAUAGCUCAUACACACGAGGUGUGGAGGUCUGGCCUCGUCCCUGAACUGGCCUGCUAGCCUCCCCACGUCCCUUACUUUGGUUGCCUUGCAACUUAGGGCAGUCCCUGCGGUAGUGGCCCUUCUGGCCGCAGUGGUGACAGGUCCUGGACUCACCCAACGGACUUGGACAAUCCUUGGCUGAGUGAUCCAUCUUACCACAUCGAGUGCAGGCACCCAUGGCCUUCCAGCACUCUCCACCGUGGUAUCGUCCACACUUAGGGCACUCUGACCUACCACUUGAGGUUUUACCCUCCUCGGUCGAGUCCCUCUUCCUCUUCUUGUCACCACUCUGACCCGAGGAUACCACCACACUCUUCAGCUUCUGCUUACCCUCCUCGGUGAGGUUGGUCUCCAGCAAGGCCAUCCUCUCAACCAACUCAGAAACCGUGUGGAACUUACAAACAGAACAGUAGGUUCGAAGUUCCACCCUUAGGCCUCGGAUGAACCUUCGGACUUGAACCUUCUCAUCCUCCAGUUCUCUUCCCACAUACCUUCUGAGUCGGUUGAACUCUUCUUCAUACUCACGAACAGUCCUCCGUCCCUGAGUCAAGUCCAGGAACUUGGACUCCAAACGAUCCCACGCCUCAGCAGGAAAGUACUUAUGGUUGAACUCAACCUCAAAGUCAGCAAAAUGCUCAAUGGUGCCAUUGGUACGCUUGUCCAAAGCUAACCACCAGUUAUGUACAUCUCCCUCCAGGAAGUGUACUGCUAUGUCCUUCUGGUAGUCCUCAGGACAACGCGUGGACUUGAAGUUCCGAACCAACCGGGUUCUCCACUCGUCCACCUCCAUAGGAUCAACACUUCCAGCAAAGUGUUUGGUUCCCAACUUGGAGGUAUGCUCCAGCACCUUCAGGUAGUCCAUACCAUGCACUUGCCUGACCGGUGGGUCUAUCUCAAUCACCUCGGCCACACGGCCAGCACCAACAUCAGUCACUCCAGCAGCAACCCGAACCGGGGGAUUAGCCUGUCCUACGGACGAGUUCACCAAUGGUGUGAACGCCUAUGUCAAGGAGGCUAUCUGAGCUCCCAUGACCUGCAUAGCUUCCACCAAGCCCCUUAUGGUCGGCUCAAUGACCUCCUCAGCACCAGUGACCCGAACAUUGUUUGCAUCAACAUUCUGGCCACUCCCAGCACCAACGUUGGAUGACCCAGUAUCUUCUCCAUGGACUUGCUCUUGUUGCUCGUCCACAUUAGUUUCAUUAACCUCAGUAGGAAGAGUUGGACCCACUGGGAGUCCGGUGGCAUUAUCCACCUGCUCCACCAGAGCCGGUAGCACUGUGGUUGGAAUGGUUCCAGCUGGUAACACUCCGGUCUGUUCAGCACCAUCCUGCCCCACUGCUCCAGACGCCCCAGUCGCCUCCUUUCCUUUCCGAGAUUUAUACCUUCUUGCUCCCUUAGGAGUUACAAACACAAACAAAAGGUUAGUCCACAACUGAACACACAAACCUCAAUCACUCCUACGUUAAUCAGUAGAAAAGAUUACUUAGAACCCAACUAUCUCACCAUGAGUCCAAACGGCCAAGUGUGUGGUGAACCAAUAACCCAACAAAUCCUAAAAUCAAGAAUGCUCUGAUACCAACUUGUAAGACCCGAUCCUGGAUUCCUCAAUCGAACCAGCCCGCGGCCUCACCAAACAAUGCAACCAAUUCCAUCUUUCAUAUUCAAGUUCAAGUGUUAAAUAAUUCUAAGUCUUUUUCAGAGUUUUGAGGUUCUAACAUUCACACUUAAACAAUCAAGCAUCAACUAAUGAAAAUAGAUACUUCUUAGAUAUUAACCAAGGUUCAUACAUCAUUCAUCAUCCUAAAUAAUAGAAUACAUACUAGAAUCGCAUAAGUUCACAAGUUGCACAAUAGGCUACAAUAAUCACACAAUUUUCAGAAUCAACCCAAUCACCACACAUCUUCCCAUGGCCCCGGUCCUCAUGGUGCUUUUCCCUUACCACGGUCCAUUUCUGGUCCUGGAUCCAACACAAACAACCACACAAUCACAAGAUUAGAUUACAAAACAAGAAUCAAAUCACAUUGCAUGGUCGGAUCCAAUCUAGUCAAGAACAAUCAUCAAAAAUGUCAAAUCUGACCCCUUUAAAAAGAGAUCCAAAUACCAAAUAAAAUUCAUGAUAAUUCAUGAUAAUUCAUAAGAAAAAUAUUCCCAUAAACAGAUUCAAAAGAAUCGGCUCAGAUCAUAGUGAUCUCGGCCAUGAACAGCCCACACAAGAACAAGGGACUUUCAUGGGAAUUUGAUCAGGCCAAGGCCUUAGGAUCAAUGAAUCUUUCCUGUAACAACAUAAAACAUUCCAUAGCACAACAUAUAAGAAGAAACAGAGUAGAAGAAGUCAGAGUAAGGAGUAGCCAAUCGAUCCAAGCCGGCCAGGCUCACACGGCCAUCAUCCGCGGCCUUGUCCGGUUACUCUUGGCCACACCUCUCACCUUAGGAGUUCGGUCUCCAGGGGCGACUUCCUUCUCCUUCUCCUUUGCCUUCUCCUUGUCUUUCUGUCUCAAAUCCAUCCUCUUGAUCACACGCCCAAACACACCAGGAACACUCAAGAACAAUCUCUUGGAUCAAAUCGGCCGAUCCAAAGUUUCUGUCUCUCUUUCUCUCUUGAAUUUUCUCUGUGUUUCUCUCUGUGUGGAAUGAGUAAAAACCGACCAGAAAGAUCAGAAAUGAGAGAGAGAAGACGAUUUAAACUGUCCCCAACCGCCUGGGCGAACAGUUACCAAAAUCCCUUCCUUUCUUCCCAAAACCGUCCCAUAACCGUCCCAUAACCGCCCCUUGGCGGUUUCUCCCCUUUUCUUCCUUUGGCAAAUCGAUCACUGAGCCUCAGCUCACACUCUGGGAGCUUGCCCGCUCCCUAUCCCAAGCCUAAGACCCAUUUGGUCGAACCGUCCUGCACCCAGACCAUCGGCUCGCCCAGUAACCGUCCCGGACUCGCCCACACUGAUCCAAACCAGAACGCACCGUUCACUGGAUUGAGCUGACCCCCAACUGUUCCCAGCUGAUUGAGCUAGCCCACCAGCUCCUGUGAGCUGAACAGAUCAUGGUGAACUGAUUACCAGCUGAACCGAGCUGAUUGAACUCAAACCAACACUCGUCCAGCUGCCUAAACACUCACCCAGCCCCUUUACCCUUAUUUCCAUCGUAUCCUGGUUAAGUCUCAGCUGACUGAUGCCCUUAACCUUCAUUCAGGGCCAUGAUACGCUUGUCUCAAGGUCUAAUGACCUGACUGGUGCGUCUCCCCGCACCAUGGCCCGUCCGGCCGAUCCUAUCUAGGAUCGGGGACAUGACAGCGUGGGUGUGAGAAGCCGGUUGAUCAAGUAAACAGCCGUGGAGAAGGCAUACGUCCAGUAGUCUUUUGGUAUGGAGGCCGUGGAUAGUAAAGUGAGGCCUGUCUCAACUAUAUGCCGAUGUUUUCUAUCUGACACACCGUUGUGUUGGGGAGUGUGAGGCGGAGACGUGAGAUGUGUGAUGCCAUGAGCUGCUAGGAAGCUUUUCAAAGCAACAUACUCACCACCAUUAUCUGAAAAGAGUGUUCCUAUGGAGGUUUGGAACUUCUUUUCAACAAGAGCUUUGUAAGCAAUGAACACUUCUUGAACCUGCGAUUUCUUUUUGAGUGGAUAGAGCCACGUGUACCGUGAGUAAUGAUCAACGAAAACAACAUAGUAUUUGAAGUUGUCAAUGGAUGUGAUAGGAGAAGACCACACAUCACUGAAAACAUAUUCAUGAGGCCGAGAAGAAACAAUAGAAGAGUUUGUGAAAGGUUGUUUGUGGCUCUUAUUAAUCAAACAAUCAGAACAAGAUAAGUGUUUUGAAGAACAAGCAAUAGUUGGAAGAGAAAACUGAGAAACAAUAGUGUUUAAAAUAGAAAAAGAAGGGUGGCCGAGCCGAGAAUGCCACGAAGAGAAAGAUGUUUUCGGAUUUGAUGAGGUCACCAUGGCCGUUGGAAAAGAGUGUUGAAUCGGCCACUGAUAUAACUCAUUCUUAGUCCUGCCUUGGAGCAAUGGGACCCCCGUGCUGAGAUCCUUCACCUGAAAUGAGGCAGGGAAAAAUUCAACCGAAACACGAUUAGUGUUGCAUAAACGGUACACUGAUAUAAGGUUCUUAUCAAUAUCAGGAACAUAGAGAAUGUUUUGUAAAGACAUAUUCCGAGUUGGAGUUGAGAGAGUAGAAGAACCAGUGUGUGAUAUUGGUAAACCUGAGCCAUCAGCAAUGAGAACAUCAUCGCCACCUUGGUAAGGUUGAUGGAGAGAGAGGUUGUUUAGGUCCGACGUGAUGUGGUGAGUGGCACCUGAGUCAAGAAGCCAGUUCGUUGCUGUGUAUGGGGAGUUAACCACAAGGUUUGCGCGUGGUUGCCAAGGUCGGAAGGGACUUGCUUGUUGGUUUGUUGGUGUCGAUGCCUGAAGUUGCUGCUGGAGCUGAGGGCAGCGACGUGCGCUGUGACCCUGAGUGUUGCAGAGUUGACACUUACCCAAGUAGGGUUUGGACUGACGCUGCUCAUAGCGCUGGGAAGACUGCGAGUAGUUGUUGUCACCGCUGUUGUACCUCUUGCUGUUGUUGUUGCGAUUGUUGGAGAAGUUGUGCUGCUGCUGUCGAUGUUGAACUGCAUUCGCAGACAGAGGGAUCACAGCAGAGGGAGCAUCACGGUUGGCCAGGAGUUUGGCCUCAUGGUUGAGCAGGCGUUCAUGUAUCUCAGUGAUACUUGGAGGAGUAUCUUUGCCCUCAAUUUGAUCCACAACCGUCUUGUAGUCGUCUGGUAACCCACCGAGAAUCACUUCUACUUGAUCUUCAUGAUCAUACGGCUUGCCUAGGAUUGCAAGUUGAUCAAGUUUGGUGAUGGCGCCUUGAAGAUACUCAUCAAUCGACUUGUUGCCUUUGGUGUAGUGCUUAAGCUGAUCCUUGAGUUGUUUGAUGUGACCACGACUAGGUUUGGCAUAGAUGGAGGCGAGUUUCUCCCAGAUCUGAGACGCAGUUGUCGUGCGAGACACGGUAGGUUGAAUCGAGGUGGAUAUGGCUCCAAGAAGCGCGCUCUAUAUCAACUUGUCCUGACGAGUCCAUCGAGUGAACUCUGGAUUGUCAGAGACGAAAUUGUCAACGGUUAGUGUUGGCGGUGGAACCACAGCAGAGGUGUCGAGAUGAGUAGCAAGGGCAUAACCAUCCAGCAAAGCAUGAACUUGUAUGCUCCACAUGAGAUAGUUGGUGCUUGUGAGUUUGGACACAUUAGACAUGUUGAUGUGAAGAACGGUAGUGUUGUUGUUGACGAUGGAGAUGACUUCAUUGGUGUUUGAUGAAGAACUCAUGGUGGCGGCUUAGAGAAUUUUUAGCUAGGUUUAGGAGCGUAAGCUCUGAUACCAUAUAGAUUAUGGAAAGUGAUGAUUCUUAUUAGAGGCCUUGUACAAUACUUAUACACGUUAGAAGAGAGUACUAGGUCUAAAUUAAUUACACAUAAGGAUAUCAACUAUCUAUAUUUACAUAUAUCUUCAAUACUAUAUAUAAACUCAUAAACUCAUAAUAUAUUUCACCUCAACUCAUUAUACAAAUCUUCAAAACACCACAAAAGUAGUAAUCAUAUAACAAACAACAAAAAACCUAAUAAAAUAUGGAUUAACUAUAUUUAACAAAAUAACAAUACACAUAAGAAAUAGGGAAUUUUCAUAAGAAACGUAAAAAGAAAGUUUUAUUAAAGAUAUGGAAAAUGUUCAUUUCAUCAUUGUGAAAUAAUACUAAUUGCAUGCAUAUAUCUAUUUCUACGCUUCUAUUUAAGUUUUGAUAGCAAUAUAGAGUAAAUCAUGCAUGUACACCAUUGCAAUUAUUUUUCCUAAUCCAAAAAAACUAUGUAGGACUGUCUUAAGACUGCAAUAAAUCAACACAAUAGGCAAAAAAAAUUAAUACACUCCAGUUUAUUCAUUUGCUAUGUAUCGUCUUCUUCAUCACCAUCAUCUGUUAGAUCAUAUCUUCAAUUGACAAAAGAUUUACAUCAGUUUUGAUCGAAGCGUAAGAGGAAUCAAGAAAGGAGUUUAGGGUUUAUAAAAUGAUGUGAUUGGGUUAUUUAUAUUUUAUCCAUUCUUUCUUUUUUGUUUGUUUCUUCUCCAGUGUUUCGCUAGAGAAACACGAUGACAAUAAAACUUGAGCUUUUCGAAGUUUAAUUUCUCCGAAAGAGUCAGAACAAAGGAAUAACAGAUUUGAAAUUUCUUGAAUCCAUAGAGAAAAAGGUAUGGUUUAUGUUGUGAGUUAUCUCCAUUGAUUCUAGAUUUUGCUUUCAUGUCUUUUUUAAAUUGAGACAAUUAUGACAAAGCAGGAAAAAGACAAGAACUUUGUGUAAGAAGCUUUGUUGUUCCUCUUCUUUUCAAAUAUGUUCUUGUAUGAAUGUCGUAACUGGUUAGUCCAAAUUACUAAAUCUCCAACAUUUAUGACAAAUUUUCUUCCUUUACGAUGAAUACUAUUGUAAAGUUCGAAACUUUUAAGGAAUAAUAUUCUCUUGUCUUAGAUUUGGACUCUCUUAGAUUUGUACUCAAAACCUAUUAUUUGCAGGAGGAGACAUGGAGGAUGACGACUAGCCGGAAGAAAACAAAUUUACAUAUCCAUUAUAGUCUUCGUCUUCCUAUCAUCCUUUAUUUAUUUUGAUUUUUAUGAAGCCUUUUUAAGAAAACACAUAUGCAUAUCUAUCUUAAUUUAAUUGUUAUCUGAAAUACUCUUAAAAUAUAGGUUUUAUUUGGAGGUACUGACAUUUCAAAUCUUUACAAACAUAAUUAUAUUGCCAG